rnacentral:rRNA from 1 species
UACGUAGGGUGCAAGCGUUGUCCGGAAUUUAUUGGGCGUAAAGAGCUCGUAGGUGGCUCGUUGCGUCGACUGUGAAAUCCCAAGGCUCAACCUUGGGUCUGCAGUCGAUACGGGCGAGCUAGAGUAUGGUAGGGGAGACUGGAAUUCCUGGUGUAGCGGUGGAAUGCGCAGAUAUCAGGAGGAACACCGGUGGCGAAGGCGGGGUCUCUGGGGCCGAUACUGACGCUGAGGAGCGAAAAGCGUGGGGGAGCGAACAGG